CCCUUAGAUGUUCUGGACCGCACGCGCGCUACACUGACGAAGUCAGCGAGCAUGUCCUACGCCGACAGGUGCGGGGAAUCUUGUCAAACUUCGUCGUGAUGGGGAUUGAUUAUUGAAAUUCUUGAUCAUCAACGAGGAAUUCCUAGUAAGCGCAAGUCAGCAGCUUGCGUUGAUUACGUCCCUGCCCUUUGUACACACCGCCCGUCGCUACUACCGAUUGAAUGGUUUAGUGAGAUCUUCGGAUUGGCGCCACUGCGGCUCAGCAAUGGGCUCGGUGGAUGCCGAAAAGUUGAUCAAACUUGAUCAUUUAGAGGAAGUAAAAGUCGUAACA
rnacentral:rRNA from 1 species